rnacentral:piRNA from 1 species
UCUUUGUAUGUAUUCCUGAUGGA